AAUUCACAUUGAACGGUGAGUAUCUGCAAUAGAUUCAAAUGUAGCUGGUGUCUUGGUGAAAUAGCUCAAUAAUGAUGUUAGUUUCUGAAUUAAUGUUAAUUGCAGAAGGAGAGCUCUUCUAUGGCAGAAGAAAAGUCAUUAAGACGAAAGAAGAUGCAAGAAAGCUCUUCAAAGAAUUUCACUCUUCUCCAAUGGGGGGGCAUUCAGGCAUCCUGAAAACGCGCAAUGCAAUGUCCUCUAGAUUUUAUUGGCUUGGCAUGACCAUUGAUAUUGACCGCUGGGUCUUGGAAUGUGACAUGUGCCAGAAGGUUGGAAAACCUUUGACUGCUACACAACCAUUAGAGUGUAUUAAGGUUUCUGCUGUAUGGGAGCUCACUGGCAUUGAUCUGACG